rnacentral:rRNA from 1 species
UUCCAGACUCCUACGGGAGGCAGCAGUGGGGAAUAUUGCACAAUGGGGGAAACCCUGAUGCAGCGACGCCGCGUGAGCGAUGAAGUAUUUCGGUAUGUAAAGCUCUAUCAGCAGGGAAGAAGAUGACGGUACCUGACUAAGAAGCCCCGGCUAACUACGUGCCAGCAGCCGCGGUAAUACGUAGGGGGCAAGCGUUAUCCGGAUUUACUGGGUGUAAAGGGAGCGUAGACGGCGAUGCAAGCCAGAUGUGAAAGCCCGGGGCUCAACCCCGGGACUGCAUUUGGAACUGUGUGGCUGGAGUGUCGGAGAGGCAGGCGGAAUUCCUAGUGUAGCGGUGAAAUGCGUAGAUAUUAGGAGGAACACCAGUGGCGAAGGCGGCCUGCUGGACGAUGACUGACGUUGAGGCUCGAAAGCGUGGGGAGCAAACAGGAUUAGAUACCCUCGUAAUA